UACGGGGGGGGCAAGCGUUGUUCGGAAUUACUGGGCGUAAAGGGCUCGUAGGCGGCCAACUAAGUCGGAUGUGAAAUCCCCAGGCUUAACCUGGGAACUGCAUCCGAUACUGGAUGGCUUGAAUCCGGGAGAGGGAUGCGGAAUUCCAGGUGUAGCGGUGAAAUGCGUAGAUAUCUGGAGGAACACCGGUGGCGAAGGCGGCAUCCGUGGACCGGCAUUGACGCUGAGGAGCGAAAGCCAGGGGAGCAAACGGG
rnacentral:rRNA from 1 species